UUUCUCUCUCUACAAAGGAAUCGCCGUUUUGCGCCGAUUUCGCGUCCCGUUCGACGCUCGCUGGUUAGGUGGACUUGGGGCCAGCUUUUAAAAGUGUCGGAUUUUGAGCCAUUUUGGUGUUGUUGCUCCUGGCUGAUUUGGAGAGGGAUUGCAGCAGCUAAAGAGGAGUUCCUCAGCUGUGAAUUAGACCAGGGAUAAACUACUUCAAGGCUGGACUAAGUAGGUUUGCGGAUUAAUUUAAGCUUAAUUGAUGACCUUGGGGACUGGUUAGAAGGUGUUCUAACCUGAGCGGACUUGCGACGGACUUUCGGAUUACCUCCUGCUGAUGCGUAAAGGCUUUUAGAAGCUUAACUUGAGCAAAGUUGGGACUCCGUUGAGUAGAGUUUCGGGACUUCUUAUGGCUGGAUUGAGCUUCAUAAUAGAGCCUUCCACCCCGGGAAAGGCUAGGGUUCUUGGCGAG